CUUUUUCUCUCUCUCAGAUUUUUUAAAAUUGAAUUUUACUAUUUACUUUUAUUCCUUUUAAUAGAUUUGACACCAAUAUACCGGAGGCGCUCUGCAUGGCUUGCUUUGUGGAUGAUAUCAUUCCGCGCGGGGAUUUUACGUUACGUGGUACCCGUGUGUACAACUAGAUGUCCGUUUUUUUUUUUGUCUGUAAAGAGACCAAGGUGUGCAUGCUUAUUCCAGAAUCAGUCCGGGAAUUCACAGCCAUUACUCAACGUCGGUGUAGAUUAUAGCAUACCCAACAAACUCUUUGGAUAAUAACAACACACUGAGAACUCUAACCCACAGUCCUGUUGCCUUACUACAGUAUAGACAUUCCAAGAAAAAACAUGGAAUUUUAAGCUGGACACAAACUGAAAAGAACACUUAUGUACAUGGCGGGGUAGAUCUGUCAGAGAACAAGUAUUUGGUGCUGCCAUCUACUGGUUACUAUGAUGUACAGACCAGAGUGCAGAUGGAUACCUAUACAGUGGAUAUGCAGCCUUCCAAGGAGGUUUUAAUAAGACUUGCUGUGAAUGUAAUGGCCAUUGAUGGCCACGUAAAAACUUUGAUGGAAGAAAAAUUCAUCCUUGGACCAAAGCAGAUGUUUGGAAAGCAACUGGGGCCAGUUACUUUCAAAUUGCCGAGUGGAUGUGCAGUGUAUGUUGUGAUGAAUGGCCGGGAGUAUAUCAAUCCCAGCAAACACAAUACAUUCAGCAUCAGAAAAUGGUCUGACUAAAUGUUGGACUCCACAUAAUCUCCAUGUUUGGAGAGAGAGAGAGAGAGAGAGAGAGAGAGAGAGAGAGAGAGAGAGAGAGAAUAUGAAUAGAUGUACUAGCUUGACUUCUGUGUAAACUGGAAUGCAAUGUUUGAAUUCUAUGUCUUUCAUGUUUAUAAUGGCAGCAAAAUAAUGUCCUGUGAUAAUAAAGAUUAUUUUCCU
rnacentral:sRNA from 1 species